UACAGAGGUCCCGAGCGUUGUUCGGAUUCAUUGGGCGUAAAGGGUGCGUAGGCGGCGGGGCAAGUCUGAUGUGAAAUCCUGGGGCUCAACCUCAGAACUGCAUUGGAUACUGCCUUGCUAGAGUACUGGAGAGGGAACUGGAAUUUACGGUGUAGCAGUGAAAUGCGUAGAGAUCGUAAGGAAGGCCGGUGGCGAAGGCGAGUUCCUGGACAGUGACUGACGCUGAGGCACGAAGGCCAGGGGAGCAAACGGG
rnacentral:rRNA from 1 species